rnacentral:lncRNA from 1 species
GAGCAACAGGCUUCCUCACGGUCAUGCCAACAGAGCAAACGGGGCUGGAAGCCAAGCUUUUCUUGUGUCCCUAAAUCAGCAGGAGGAUAUCCGGGUACCCCAACCAUCUCUUGGCUGCCCCCUGCCUGGUUCCUCCAGGGAGUCACUAAAAUCUCCAUAUUGCUGAAGCCCCAUUGGGCAAGAAGAAUGGUGGAAGCGGACAUGGUGGGGGAUGGGGAGAAGUUGAGACUGGGGAGUUGCCUCUACUCCCUGCCCUCGGUCAACACAACUGCCUUUCCUGAAGCCAGGCAGGCUGUCUUGGGUAUUUUCUUUCUCACUGGGCCACCUGCCGCCACCCUGGGAAGCAGGCAGGCGUUGGGAAGGUCUUGGAGUACCUGAGGAAUACACUUUAUAGCCACACACAGACCUAGAUUCUCACUUUCCAAGCCUUCUACAGGGGACAGUACCCUCAUCCUCCAUCUAAGA